rnacentral:tRNA from 1 species
CAUUAAGUGGCUGAAACAAAAUAAGCACUGAUCUCUUAAAUCAUCCCAUAGCAUAGUUUGCUCUUAAUGA